AUGGCGCGGAACCCGGCCUCCAGCGUCUACGUAGGCAACUUGGAUGAGAAGGUGCCUGAAAGAGUCUUGUAUGAGAUUCUUAUUCAGGCUGGUCAUGUAGUAGACCUGCACAUACCAUGUGACAAAGAAACUGGGCGUCCCAAAGGUUUUGCUUUUGCUGAGUAUGAGACAGACGCAAUUGCUCAGUAUGCUGUUAGACUUUUUUCAGGACUUGUUAGGCUUAAUGGUAAAACACUUAAAUUUGCGCUUUCUGGACAAGACAAGCCCUCAUCAAAUGGCAAUAAUCCAGUAAUGCCUAAACUCAACCCUAUACCAUUACCAAAGCAGCCUCAGUUUGUGCAUUCUAGUGAUACGCUUGUGUCGCAUAAACCAGCAUAUCCGGUGGUAAAUGGUGGGAUUCCACAUAAUGUUUUUUCACAAGGCUAUCAUCCUUACAAUGUUCACCCUCAAGCAUUACCAACUCGACCCGUGCAUGAGCACCGAGAGUUUGUCCAUGGUACGUAUGGUUACAACAGUCAUGUAUAUGGUUCUGUUCUGAAUGCUAGCUAUGGAGGUUAUGUUGUGAAUGCUGUUGGUCAUCGAGCUGUGAGGCAACCAAUCAUUUACCCAUCCUACUAG
rnacentral:rRNA from 1 species